GCGGUAUGGUGACGCGGAGGGACAUUA
rnacentral:rRNA from 1 species